rnacentral:rRNA from 1 species
ACGGGAGGCAGCAGUGGGGAAUUUUGCGCAAUGGGGGCAACCCUGACGCAGCAACGCCGCGUGCGGGACGAAGGCCUUCGGGCUGUAAACCGCUUUCAGAGGGGAAGACACUGACGGUACCCUCAGAAGAAGCUCCGGCUAAAUACGUGCCAGCAGCCGCGGUAAUACGUAUGGAGCGAGCGUUAUCCGGAUUCAUUGGGCGUAAAGCGCGCGUAGGCGGCCGCCUAAGCGGAACCUCUAACCUUGGGGCUCAACCUCAAGCCGGGUUCCGAACUGGGCGGCUCGAGUCCGGUAGGGGCAGGCGGAAUACCCGGUGUAGCGGUGGAAUGCGCAGAUAUCGGGUAGAACACCGAUGGCGAAGGCAGCCUGCUGGGCCGCGACUGACGCUGAGGCGCGAAAGCUAGGGGAGCGAACAGGAUUAGAUACCCUGGUA